rnacentral:rRNA from 1 species
UUAGUCAAUGGCCUAACGGCUGAACUGGCAACUUGGAGAAGUGGCAAGUCUUCCAGUAUGGGGAGCAAAACAGCUAUGGGUCAAGUCCGAUAUCUUUAGGAGGCGCGAAGCUCCUCUUAUUGUGAGGGCGAGUUUUAUAACACCAUAGGACUGGCCGUCCCAUAUGAAAAGAUUAUAUUAGAAUUGAAUGAAGCUUUGUUUAUAUAUUGAUAAUGACAGUAUAUAUAUCGUGUCUUGACUAAUUGCGUGCCAGCAGUCGCGGUAAUACGUAAGAGACUAGUGUUAUUCAUCUUAAUUAGGUUUAAAGGGUACCCAGACGGUCAAUAUAGCUUAUAAAAUGUUAGUACUUGACUAGAGUUUUAUGUAAGAGGGCAGUACUUGAGGAGGAGAGAUGAAAUUUCGUGAUACCAAAGGGACUCGGUAAAGGCGAAGGCAGCCCUCUAGGUAAAAACUGACGUUGAAGGACGAAGGCACAGAGAACAAACAGGAUUAGAUACCCAAGUAGUCUUUGCAGUAAAUGAUGAAUGCCAUAGGUUAGAUCUGAGUUGGUAGUCUAGUUGAGUUAGUUUACUAAACUAAUGAUCUAUACAAGCCAGCCUUAGAUUUGGUCUAUAAAUGAAAGUGUAAGCAUUUCACCUCAAGAGUAAUGUGGCAACGCAGGAACUGAAAUCACUAGACCGUUUCUGACACCAGUAGUGAAGUAUGUUAUUUAUU